rnacentral:lncRNA from 1 species
UCUUCGGCGGCCACCGUGCUGCCUUGCCGAGUGCCGCCACCUCCCAAAAAGACCCAAACCUUCCUCCUUAAGCCCAUCUUAUUUUGUUCCGAGGGACUUGGGUGUGAGAUCCUCCAAAAUCCAUCCCGCCGACUGCUGCCAUCAGCGUCGCCGCCAUCUAUGAUAAGCUUCCUUCCCUUCUCUCCCUUUCCUUCCGGCCCUAGGUGUCACCACCUUGGAAUAAGGGGUAGAUCCCCUUUUCUUCCUUUCUGGUUCUCUAUCGUCGUUCGCCAAACCGCCACCUCUAGCCAUUGUCGUGCUGCCACUGCAGGCCGCUUGGACUGCCUCAUCAUCGAAACCCCACCUCCAGUCAACCCUCAUGAAACUCCAAGGGGUCUUGGGUUCGAUAAGAGAGAAAGAAGAAAAAUAAGAGAGAGAGAGGGGAAAAGAGAGAGAAAGGGAAGAGAGAGGGAUUCAAAUUUUAGGUGAACCUAACCUAUUGAUUGGAUUCAAUCUAAUUGAGUUUAGGUCAACCCG